AAUAUAAGGAAUUUUGGUAUUGUGCUCGCACUGUUUGACCAUUCGUCUUAUUUAAAAAAAUUUCGGAAUUAUUAUUAUUAUUAUUAUUAUUUGACUUACUAUCCAAAGUGCUUUAAGCACAACUUUUCAUUUUUUAUAUUUGCAAAAGUUUUUUAAAUAAGAUGAGUGGUCAAACAAUGCAAGCAAAAUCCCUUAUA
rnacentral:pre_miRNA from 1 species